rnacentral:lncRNA from 1 species
CUGACUACAGCUGAUACCUCAAAGAUAAACUGUUCAGAAUUAACCAGCUGGUUUUUUUUAAAGGGAUUUAUUAUUUCAGUGAACCUCUUCUGAAAAAAAACCCUGCUACCAAGUAGGAUAGCUGAGAUGUCUGCUUACAUUUGCCUGUGCAAUUUCAAACCCUUGAUCUACUGCAGCUUCAGCAGCAGCUGGAAUUGCUCUGCAACUGGGAAGGUAACAAAUCUAGACCUGAAUGCAACAGCUAAUCCUAUCCCUGAAAUUGGAGAUUAG